AUAUCAAUAAGGCGAGGAACAGAAACCAACCGGGAUUCCCCCAGUAGUGGCGAAUGAAGUGGGAAAAGCUCAAGUUUGAAAUCUGGCUUCAGUCAGAGUUGUAAGCUGAAGAGGCUUCGACCGAUGUGGCUUGGGCUCAAUUCCCUUGGGAUAGGGAGUCAUGGAGGGUGAGAACCCCGUCUGUGGCCCUUUGGCCUGCAUCCUUGUGUCGUUUCCUCGAAGAGUCGGGUUGUUUGGGAAUGCAGCUCAAAAUGGGUGGUAAAUUUCAUCUAAAGCUAAAUAUUGGCGAGAGACCGAUAGCGCACAAGUA
rnacentral:rRNA from 1 species